rnacentral:lncRNA from 1 species
CGCACGGUCGGCUCGGUGCCCGAAGGCGAUUGGUGAGCGUUUCAAUAUUUUCUGCCGUGGGUCAGGAACAGGUGGUAGAGGACGCCAUUUUGGAGGUCGCCAUUUUUGUUUUGGUGAGUAGAUUUUGGUUUGUUGACUAUUUUGAUCUUAUUUCUUCACAACGGCUGCUUUCAGGGCCAGUUUGGUCAGCUUGGCAGCCCGCUAACCUCGAUGAUGGAGUACUGGUAGAUGAGUCGUGGACGUAGUUCUAAAGAUGACAGGAAGCGUUAUCAGGACCAAAGCCGUGAGGCAGUGAAAUGAAGGUCAAUCACCCAACACCUAGGAUACAUCCCUCUGACGUUAAUCGGCAUAACACUCCCCAUGAUACAAUGGUUUUGGAGUACAUGUUAACGCUGGGCGGCCCAACCAUUGCGUUUACUGUACGGCGUUGGAUUGGUU